UACGUAGGGCGCAAGCGUUGUCCGGAAUUAUUGGGCGUAAAGAGCUCGUAGGCGGUCUGUCGCGUCGGAUGUGAAAGCCCGGGGCUUAACCCCGGGUCUGCAUUCGAUACGGGCAGACUAGAGUGUGGUAGGGGAGAUCGGAAUUCCUGGUGUAGCGGUGGAAUGCGCAGAUAUCAGGAGGAACACCAAUAGCGAAGGCAGCUCGCUGGGACGGUACUGACGCUAAGGCGCGAAAGCGUGGGGAGCAAACGGG
rnacentral:rRNA from 1 species